UCUCUUUGACCCAUUAUUUCAGACUUAAAAACAAGCAUGUUUUCAAGCGGUGCUAUGAGCUGCCAAUGAUGUAUCACUACCAUAUCUCAUUAUUCUCCAGUAAAUGUGAUAAUAAUGUGAUCUGUUAACAUAAAAAAAGUUUGACUUCACAAAAGCAGCUGGAAAGGGACAACCACAAUAUGCAUAAAUCUAACUCCUAAUAUAUAUAACUCCUAAUAUAUGUCAAGAUACACACUGCUUGACAUAUAUUGUUAGAAGCACCUCACAUUUGUGGGUUCUCUUAAGCAAAAUACUUGCAUUAGGUCUCAGCUGGGGCUGUGCAUCAGGCGGUUUGGGAAAUACUCAGUUCUCAGCAGAAGCCAGAAUUUGAAUUCCCUCAUCUUUUAAGAAUCAUUUACCAGGUUUGGAGAGGAUUUAGGCAGCUCAGGUG
rfam:Callithrix jacchus chromosome 1, whole genome shotgun sequence